UACAGAGCCUGAAAUAAUUUUAAAAUUUGUCCGGAAAAACUUCCGACCAAAACGAAAUUUGACCGGAAAUUUGCAAAAUUGACCGGAAUAUUUUUUAGUUUAGCUUGACCAAGUCCACACGCCCCCCCCCCCCCCCCCCCCCCCCCCCCCCCCCCCCCCAAUGAGCAAACUCUGUCAAGCAUGCAGACGUGCACUGAGUAAAUCACUCUACUUGCAAUAAUAAAACACAAAUGUUUAAUUCUGAAUUGCUUAUUGGAAUAGUUAUAGUGAAUAAUAAUUUAAUCACGCCCGCUGACGCUGUUUUUAUCUUGACCCGACAAGCUGGAAGAUAUUAAAAACAAUACGUUUCCUUGAUUACUUUAUAUUAGCCUAACAUAGAUAAUCCAAACUUACAGAUGGUACUCACUGUGCUGAGCGCCGACCCG